rnacentral:rRNA from 1 species
AGAAUCAACGCUGGCGGCGUGCCUCAGACAUGCAAGUCGAACGCGAAAGUCCCCUUCGGGGGACAAGUAGAGUGGCGCACGGGUGAGUAACACGUAGGUAAUCUACCUUCGGAUGGGGAAUAACAACCGGAAACGGUUGCUAAUACCGCAUAAUGCAGCGGCACCUAAUGGUGACAGUUGUUAAAGCGGGGGAUCGAAAGACCUCGCGUCUGAAGAGGAGCCUGCGGCGGAUUAGCUAGUUGGUAGGGUAACGGCCUACCAAGGCGACGAUCCGUAGCCGGCCUGAGAGGGCGGUCGGCCACACUGACACUGACAUACGGGUCAGACU